AUUGAACGCUGGCGGCAGGCCUAACACAUGCAAGUCGAGCGAGCGGCGGACGGGUGAGUAAUGUAUGGGAAACUGCCCGAUAGAGGGGGAUAACUACUGGAAACGGUAGCUAAUACCGCAUACUAUCAGAUGAGCCCAUAUGGGAUUAGCUAGUAGGUGGGGUAACGGCUCACCUAGGCGACGAUCCCUAGCUGGUCUGAGAGGAUGACCAGCCACACUGGAACUGAGACACGGUCCAGACUCCUACGGGAGGCAGCAGUGGGGAAUAUUGCACAAUGGGCGCAAGCCUGAUGCAGCCAUGCCGCGUGUAUGAAGAAGGCCUUCGGGUUGUAAAGCACUUUCAGCCGGGAGGCGUUACCCACAGAAGAAGCACCGGCUAACUCCGUGCCAGCAGCCGCGGUAAUUC
rnacentral:rRNA from 1 species